rnacentral:rRNA from 1 species
GAUGAACGCUGACAGAAUGCUUAACACAUGCAAGUCAACUUGAACUUCGGUUUGGGUGGCGGACGGGUGAGUAACGCGUAAAGAACUUGCCUCACAGCUAGGGACAACAUUUGGAAACGAAUGCUAAUACCUGAUAUUAUGAUUAUAUGGCAUCGUAUAAUUAUGAAAGCUAUAUGCGCUGUGAGAGAGCUUUGCGUCCCAUUAGCUAGUUGGAGAGGUAACAGCUCACCAAGGCGAUGAUGGGUAGCCGGCCUGAGAGGGUGAUCGGCCACAAGGGGACUGAGACACGGCCCUUACUCCUACGGGAGGCAGCAGUGGGGAAUAUUGGACAAUGGACCGAGAGUCUGAUCCAGUAAUUCUGUGUGCACGAUGAAGUUUUUCGGAAUGUAAAGUGCUUUCAGUUGGGAAGAAAAAAAUGACGGUACCAACAGAAGAAGUGACGGCUAAAUACGUG